UACAGAGGUCUCAAGCGUUGUUCGGAUUCAUUGGGCGUAAAGGGUGUGUAGGUGGCGCCGUAAGUCGGGUGUGAAAUUUCGGAGCUUAACUCCGAAACUGCAUUCGAUACUGCGGUGCUUGAGGACUGGAGAGGAGACGUGGAAUUCAUGGUGUAGCAGUGAAAUGCGUAGAGAUCAUGAGGAAGACCAGUGGCGAAGGCGGGUCGACCUGGACAGUUCCGUGACACUGAGAACACGAAGGCCAGGGGAGGCAAACGGGAAUUAGAACCGUACUAGUCAAGUCCGAAGACCAU
rnacentral:rRNA from 1 species